GACACACCUGAGCAAGGACGUCCAGUCUCUUCCUCACACCUUCUUUCCAUCAUUUUAAGGUAAAACAACAACGACAGGAGACUAAGGAUCAGGCCAGCAGCUUCUAAGCUGAGGAGACAAUCUGGAUCUUCUACUGUGUGCUGAACCAACACAGAGAGGACACUUUCCUGGUUUCAGACUGAACGGACCAGGAGAGUAAGAAUCAGGCCAACAGCUUCUCAGCGGAAGCAGGCAGAGAGGACACUUUCCAUCAGGACAAACCAGGAUCGGAGAACCCGUGACCCCUGUCUCUCUUUGAAACUAUGGCCAAGAAAUUACGUUUGGCUCAUCUGAACGUACAA